rnacentral:lncRNA from 1 species
GUCGAUGGGUUUGUGGGCGCAGGGCGCGAGGCGCGAGGCGGUAGCUGGGCUAGUCCUGUUCCCUGGCGUCUGGGCCUUUCUGCUCUCCGCAAGGAGCUGGGUCGCGACCUGUCACUGCCAGCCGUGCGCUCGCCCUCUGCGCCCCGUCUCGUGGUCACUGCCGCCCUCCCUCCCGCCACACCUGUGAUGAUCGCUAUGGAGCCGCGCCUCAGGUGGCAUUACUAUAAACCUAAGAGGAGAGGCGCCCGUUCGAAUAAGGGCAAAUUAUUUAGUAUUUUGUCUUCAAUGUUCCUGGCAGCUUAAAGUACCAACUGGGACACUUGUCACUAGUUUGAGAAGUGCAGCCAUAGUGACCUCUUUUGAAAGAUGAAUCAAUGAAUUAAGUCAUUUCUGAGAAACCAAGGAGGCCUGUUGAAGGAGGCUGGCCCUCCUGUGGCAGGUAACCCAACCUCCACUGCCCUUGGCAACAGGACAAGGCUAAUAUUUUCCCAAGAAGGGCCUUUUCAUGGAAUGAUCUUUCCAACCCGUUGACUACAACAAG